UACGUAGGGGGCAAGCGUUGUCCGGAUUUAUUGGGCGUAAAGAGCGUGUAGGCGGCUAGGUAGGUCCGUUGUGAAAACUCGAGGCUCAACCUCGAGACGCCGAUGGAAACCAUCUAGCUAGAGUCCGGAAGAGGAGAGUGGAAUUCCUGGUGUAGCGGUGAAAUGCGCAGAUAUCAGGAGGAACACCGGUGGCGAAGGCGGGUCUCUGGGCCGAAAUUGACGCUGAGGAGCGAAAGCGUGGGGAGCGAACAGG
rnacentral:rRNA from 1 species